UUUUUGAAUAUCUACGUUAUUGAUUAUGAUAGCAUUCACUUGCUGUGUGUGUGUUCUUCUUUUGAUUCGAUGUCAUGCAGAUGAAUGUAGUUACCCAUACAGACGAGUUGGUAAAGGAUGCUAUCUUAUACAAAAAGAAAAAACUUCUGGUGAUGAUGCGUUUGUGUGCAUUAUUACUUUGGCGGACGCAACAUCAAUAGAUAUAAGCCCGGUGGUGAUUGGAGAUGGAUUAAAAAGGACGGAGAUAUGAUUAAGAUGACCUACUUUGCCUUUGAUAACGGGGAACCAAAUGGAUCACUAAGUGCGUCGGAAGAUUGUAUGAUGUUCCAUGCUUCAAGGAGAUACCGGGUCCAUA